rnacentral:tRNA from 1 species
UGGGGGAUCGUCUAACGGCAGGACGAUGGGCUCUGGACCCAUUAAUCUAGGUUCGAAUCCUAGUCCCCCAGCCA